GGGGGUUUAGCUCAGUUGCGCCCAGCGCCUGCUUUGGAAGCAAGGUGUCAGAAGUUCCAAUCUCCCAAUGCUCCAC
rnacentral:tRNA from 1 species